GAUGAACGCUGGCGGCGUGCCUAAUACAUGCAAGUCGAGCGAACAGACGAGGAGCUUUCUCCUCUGACGUUAGCGGCGGACGGGUGAGUAACACGUGGAUAACCUACCUAUAAGACUGGGAUAACUUCGGGAAACCGGAUCUAAUACCGGAUAAUAUAUUGAACCGCAUGGUUCAAUAGUGAAAGACGGUUUUGCUGUCACUUAUAGAUGGAUCCGCGCCGCAUUAGCUAGUUGGUAAGGUAACGGCUUACCAAGGCAACGAUGCGUAGCCGACCUGAGAGGGUGAUCGGCCACACUGGAACUGAGACACGGUCCAGACUCCUACGGGAGGCAGCAGUAGGGAAUCUUCCGCAAUGGGCGAAAGCCUGACGGAGCAACGCCGCGUGAGUGAUGAAGGUCUUCGGAUCGUAAAACUCUGUUAUUAGGGAAGAACAAAUGUGUAAGUAACUAUGCACGUCUUGACGGUACCUAAUCAGAAAGCCACGGCUAACUACGUG
rnacentral:rRNA from 1 species